ACCCACUAGCCACAUGCCACCCUGAACAAGCCUGAUCCCGUCUGAUCUCGGAAGCUAAGCAGGGUCGGGCCUGGUUAGUACUUGGAUGAGAGACCACCUAGGAAGACCAGGUGCUGUAGGUG
rnacentral:rRNA from 1 species